rnacentral:rRNA from 1 species
UACGAAGGGGCUAGCGUUGCUCGGAAUCACUGGGCGUAAAGGGUGCGUAGGCGGGUCUUUAAGUCAGGGGUGAAAUCCUGGAGCUCAACUCCAGAACUGCCUUUGAUACUGAAGAUCUUGAGUUCGGGAGAGGUGAGUGGAACUGCGAGUGUAGAGGUGAAAUUCGUAGAUAUUCGCAAGAACACCAGUGGCGAAGGCGGACUCACUGGUCCGGUACUGACGCUGAGGUGCGAAAG